AGUGAACGCUGGCGGUAGGCCUAACACAUGCAAGUCGAACGGCAGCACAGUAAGAGCUUGCUCUUACGGGUGGCGAGUGGCGGACGGGUGAGGAAUACAUCGGAAUCUACUUUUUCGUGGGGGAUAACGUAGGGAAACUUACGCUAAUACCGCAUACGACCUACGGGUGAAAGCAGGUGAUCUUCGGACCUUGCGCGAUUGAAUGAGCCGAUGUCGGAUUAGCUAGUUGGCGGGGUAAAGGCCCACCAAGGCGACGAUCCGUAGCUGGUCUGAGAGGAUAAUCAGCCACACUGGAACUGAGACAUGGUCCAGACUCCUACGGGAGGCAGCAGUGGGGAAUAUUGGACAAUGGGCGCAAGCCUGAUCCAGCCAUACCGCGUGGGUGAAGAAGGCCUUCGGGUUGUAAAGCCCUUUUGUUGGGAAAGAAAAGCAGCAGGUUAAUACCCCGCUGUUCUGACGGUACCCAAAGAAUAAGCACCGGCUAACUUCGUG
rnacentral:rRNA from 1 species